AUAGCGUAUAUUUAAGUUGUUGCAGUUAAAAAGCUCGUAGUUGGAUCUUGGGUCGGGGGGAGCGGUCCGCCCCUCGUGGGUGUGCACUGGUCCACCCGGCCUUUCUGCCGGGGACGCGCUCCUGGCCUUCGCUGGUCGGGACGCGGAGUCGGCGAUGUUACUUUGAAAAAAUUAGAGUGCUCAAAGCAGGCCUAUGCUCUGAAUACAUUAGCAUGGAAUAACGUGAUAGGACUCUGGUCCUGUUCGUGUUGGUCUUCGGGACCGGAGUAAUGAUUAAUAGGGACAGUUGGGGGCAUUCGUAUUUCAUUGUCAGAGGUGAAAUUCUUGGAUUUAUGAAAGACGAACUUCUG
rnacentral:rRNA from 1 species